rnacentral:rRNA from 1 species
AAUCUUCCGCAAUGGACGCAAGUCUGACGGAGCAACGCCGCGUGGAUGAGGAAGGUCUUCGGAUCGUAAAAUCCUGUUGUAAGGGAAGAACAAGUACCGGAGUAAUAUGCCGGUACCUUGACGGUACCUUACCAGAAAGCCCCGGCUAACUACGUGCCAGCAGCCGCGGUAAUACGUAGGGGGCGAGCGUUGUCCGGAAUUAUUGGGCGUAAAGGGCGCGUAGGCGGUCUCUUAAGUCUGAUGUGAAAGCCCCCGGCUUAACCGGGGAGGGUCAUUGGAAACUGGGAGACUUGAGUGCAGAAGAGGAGAGUGGAAUUCCACGUGUAGCGGUGAAAUGCGUAGAGAUGUGGAGGAACACCAGUGGCGAAGGCGGCUCUCUGGUCUGUAACUGACGCUGAGGCUCGAAAGCGUGGGGAGCAAACAG